rnacentral:misc_RNA from 1 species
GUGGGAGGGGGCUUGCCCCCGAUGGCGGUGUGACAGUCAAUUCAUGAAGAACUGAUACACAGCUAUCGGGGGCAAGCCCCCUCCCAC